CCUACGGGGGGCAGCAGUGAGGAAUAUUGGUCAAUGGACGAGAGUCUGAACCCGCCAAGUAGCGUGAAGGAUGACUGCCCUAUGGGUUGUAAACUUCUUUUAUAUGGGAAUAAAACGUUCCACGUGUGGGAUUUUGUAUGUACCAUAUGAAUAAGGAUCGGCUAACUCCGUGCCAGCAGCCGCGGUAAUACGGAGGAUCCGAGCGUUAUCCGGAUUUAUUGGGUUUAAAGGGAGCGUAGGUGGAUUGUUAAGUCAGUUGUGAAAGUGUGCGGCUCAACCGUAAAAUUGCAGUUGAAACUGGCAGUCUUGAGUACAGUAGAGGUGGGCGGAAUUCGUGGUGUAGCGGUGAAAUGCUUAGAUAUCACGAAGAACUCCGAUUGCGAAGGCAGUUCACUGGACUGCAACUGACACUGAGGCUCGAAAGUGUGGGUAUCAAACAGGAUUAGAUACCCCUGUAGUC
rnacentral:rRNA from 1 species